CGGGACGGGGUGGAGUAAUGUCUGGGAAACUGCCUGAUGGAGGGGGGUAACUACUGGAAACGGUAGCUAAUACCGCAUAACGCGCAAGACCAAGAGGGGGACCUUCGGGCCUCUUGCCAUCGGAUGUGCCCAGAUGGGAUUAGCUAGUAGGUGGGGUAACGGCUCACCUAGGCGACGAUCCCUAGCUGGUCUGAGAGGAUGACCAGCCACACUGGAACUGAGACACGGUCCAG
rnacentral:rRNA from 1 species